rnacentral:misc_RNA from 1 species
GAUGAAGAACGUAGCGAAAUGGGAUAAGUAAUGUGAAUUGCAGAAUUCAGUGAAUCAUCGAAUCUUUGAACGCACAUUGCGCCCGCCAGUAUUCUGGCGGGCAUGCCUGUUCGAGCGUCAUUUCAACCAUCAAGCCCCCGGCUUGUGUUGGGGACCUGCGGCUGCCGCAGGCCCUGAAAAGCAGUGGCGGGCUCGCUGUCACACCGAGCGUAGUAGCAUACAUCUCGCUCUGGGCGUGCUGCGGGUUCCGGCCGUUAAACCACCUUCAUAACCCAAGGUUGACCUCGGAUCAGGCAGGAAGACCCGCUGAACUUAAGCAUAUCAAUAAGCGGAGGA